UACGUAGGGUGCAAGCGUUGUCCGGAAUUAUUGGGUGUAAAGGGCUCGUAGGCGGUCCAUCGCGUCGGGAGUGAAAAGCUGGGGCUUAACCCCAGUCCUGCUUCCGAUACGGGUGGACUAGAGGUAGGUAGGGGAGAUCGGAAUUCCUGGUGUAGCGGUGAAAUGCGCAGAUAUCAGGAGGAACACCGGUGGCGAAGGCGGAUCUCUGGGCCUUACCUGACGCUGAGGAACGAAAGCCAGGGGAGCGAACGGG
rnacentral:rRNA from 1 species